UACGUAGGAUGCAAGCGUUGUCCGGAAUUAUUGGGCGUAAAGAGCGCGCAGGCGGUCUAUCAAGUCAGAUGUGAAAUAUCCGGGCUUAACCCGGAGGGGUCAUUUGAAACUGGUAGACUAGAGUACAGCAGAGGAUAGCGGAAUUCCCGGUGUAGUGGUGAAAUGCGUAGAUAUCGGGAGGAACACCGGUGGCGAAGGCGGCUUUCUGGACACUUACUGACGCUGAGACGCGAAAGCGUGGGGAGCAAACAGG
rnacentral:rRNA from 1 species